rnacentral:rRNA from 1 species
GACGAACGCUGGCGGCGUGCUUAACACAUGCAAGUCGAACGAUGAUGCUGGAGCUUGCUCCAGUUGAUUAGUGGCGAACGGGUGAGUAACACGUGAGCAAUCUGCCCUUGACUCUGGGAUAACUGCGGGAAACUGUAGCUAAUACCGGAUACUUUCACCGGAAGGCAUCUUCUGGUGAUGAAAGAAUUUCGGUCAGGGAUGAGCUCGCGGCCUAUCAGCUUGUUGGUGAGGUAACGGCUCACCAAGGCGACGACGGGUAACCGGCCUGAGAGGGUGACCGGUCACACUGGGACUGAGACACGGCCCAGACUCCUACGGGAGGCAGCAGUGGAGAAUAUUGCACAACGGGCGCAAGCCUGAUGCAGCAACGCCGCGUGAGGGAUGAAGGCCUUCGGGUUGUAAACCUCUUUUAGCAGGGAAGAAGCGAAAGUGACGGUACCUGCAGAAAAAGCACCGGCUAACUACGUGCCAGCAGCCGCCGCCG